rnacentral:sRNA from 1 species
CCAGGAAAAACCAAAGCCAGCUCUGUACAGACCUGCGUUUUUAUAGCUGCUAUACUAUUCUGCUGUGCUGUUUUUUUUCCUCCCCGGCCAGACAGACACCACAAAACUG